CACACCCCUGCACCAACGCCAUUUUCGUGCCUGGAUAGAUCGUAGAUCUAUGAGGUAGCAUCGAAUGGCUCCCCCGUAGGAAGGGUAGAGCCUCCGUGUGGCGGCCUCCAGAUCGCAACUCCGGUUCUUCUUCCCACCCCGCAGUGAGACCCGCCCCAACCCCUUUCUUCUCCCUCUCUAUCCAUCCUCGACCCCUCUCUCGUAAUAAGGAAGGACAGAGCUCAACCAAGGCGCUCCCCUCACCAGGCGCAUCGACGGACCGAAUUUUGGUGAAGAGAAUGCUUGGAGCACCUCUAUCCCCUCCACGAUGGAGGCCAGGUACACGACAAUCGUGCCAGGGAACAACACCGAUUUGACGCCGUUUUGGAGGUGAGGUAGGGGUGAUUUCGAAUGCUUCAAGGAUUUCAUGACUGGUUUGUGUUGAUCUAAUUCAUUCUUGGUCGUUUUCGUUUUCAAAGGAUCUACGCCCUCGUGGCAUGCUUGGUGGUCGGACUUUCCCUCACCUCUAUCCCCUCUAGGCCUCCGUGAUGGAGGCUGGGUACUCAGCGGCCAUGGCCUGAUUCGCCGCUCGCGUGACCGGGGACGCCGAUGUACUAAGGGUGGUUGUGGGUUGAUCUCUGCAACACCAACAUCAAGCCCGCCUCUUCUCCGUCCCCGUCCCCCCACGUCUAUCGUGCUCCUCGCCCUCCUAACGCCGUCCUCUCCAUCUAGCGCCACAGCCGAUGCACGCCUCCGGGCUCACGCCGCGCCAAGCCCGUGGGGAGGCAGAUCUCGCCCAUAGGCCGCAGAUCUCCUUCCAAACUAGGAGGCAACAACCUGGCAAGGGGCGACCUUGCAUGGUAGGCAGACCCCUUCCACAAAGGACACAAUUUCACCCCCUUCCAUAUAUUGGCGGCCAUGGCAUGCACUACGCCCCCUUCCUCGCCCUCAUUCCAAAUUCAGCCCUCCACUGCGCAUGCACCCACCUCAAUCGACUACUAUUGUCUGCAUCGGCAGUGCUAUUGUUCUGGUUGGUUCGAACUUGAGGAGGUGCGCAGAGGUGGUGGUGAGUUUGUUGUUCAUUUUUCUGUAGUAAGUCAAAGGGCCACUGUGGCUGGAUUUCAAAGUCGCAUCACUGAACUACUAGGUGCACAAGGGCAUUUUCUAAAAUCUGUGAGAUCAGGUUUUUUCCCUCUCCUGUAUUGAGUGCUUGCCCAUUCGGUCAGAUUGGUUCGAGCACAUCUAAUUUGGUCUCGGUCUCUCGGAGGAGUAUAGUGGCACAAAUUUCAUGCCCUUUUGCUCCUCUACUUUUUCUUGAAAAUGUGGCUUGAUUAUGUCAGAGUGGUUCUAGAUUUGUUCAUUGGGCAAGAUUGGCCUGGUUUUCUAAAAUGACCCCAUGAUUUUAAGUGUCAAGAUCUUUAAUGCUUUUGUAUAUGAGUCAAGUAAUUGCCAUGUAUCUCUUCUGUAUUUGGUCAUGGAUUGGAUCCUGUAAUGUUUAUAGUGUUCCAUUUUGUUGAUCCAAGCCACCAAUGGAGUAAAAACUAGAGAAUUUUUUCCCAAUUGGUUAUAUGUAUCAGUUUUCUUGUUUCUGUGCUGAGAUGCUGGUGAACCUGUAGGUGCCUGAGUCAUUUUGGGGCAUUCAAAUCGUAGAGCUCUGUUGGGGUGAAUCCAGUGAUGUGAGUACCUUUUAAACUAUCAUGGUAUGGUUUAUAUUCUCUAUCGAAAACUCACAUUUUUGUGCUAUUUUGCUUGAUGCUUGGAAGAAUCUGUUGUUUGGUUUAUCUAUUGUAUACAUUCAUGUGUUAUUCUGCUAGAUGCUUGGAAGAAGCCAUCUAUGGAAUUGUUUGAAAUGAUUUGAGCAUUUAAUCCCUUAUCUUUGAAUAGAUGACAUAAUUGGAGAAUCUGUCCAUAUAUCUAUGCGAUGUUCUGUAUUUACUACAAGCACCAUUAUAGGAUAAUAGUGUUCUUCCAUAGUCCCUUGCAUCGGUUGGGCUUUAAUUUCAAUAGUCUUGCAUCGGUUGGUAUUUAAUAGUCUUGCAUCGGUUGGGCUUUUUCUGAAGCGCUAAUAGUGUUCUUCCAUAGUCCCUUGUCCUUAUGUCCUUUGUGGAAGGUCGAGGAUAUUUUAGGUUCAAACCAUGUAUAAUUUCAUUUCUGCCCCAAUUAGGUGGCUACAACUUACCUGCGUAGACAAAAUAUAAGUAUGUGCAAUAAUAUAGCUAGCAGAGUCGAUCUUCCCUAUGCUAUAGAGCAUGUAAAUUACUUAUAAUUUGUCUAACAAAAACUGACCCAAUCCUAGAAAUAGGGAUGGCAAACAGUAGGACUAGAAUUCAGCUGCAAAAUGCCAGGGACCAUAUAAGUCAGGUAAUAACUACCAGGAAAGUGAAGCUAUCUAUUUCUAGCUGCACACUAUAUAGCUGACCAGUGCAUUUCUGACUUUGUAUGCUUUAGGAUUUCCUCUUCUUGGACCUACUGAAGCAGGUAAAGGUGCUUUUUCUAGAACAACAUUUCAUCUUCCCAUCAGUGAGGUUAGUUGUCCUCUAAAAAUUUUAGUUUUUAUCCCUGCUAUCAAAGGUUUAACAUGCCUUGUUAUUAUGUCAUACCAUGAUGAAAUUAAACCCAUGAUAAAAUUAAAAACCAUGUACACGGAUCAUAGAAACCCACUAACAGAAUUAUAGAAACCACAUAAGCAGAAUAGAAAACGGUUCUCUGAAAAUGAAGAACAUUAUUGUUGUGUUCUAAAUCAGGAUUUGGUGUUACACCAGGUGUUCGACGCGAUUCCUUGCAUUAUUUUUCAGUUGUAACAUACCACAAGAUUAUGUGGUUUUGGGAUUAUUUAUUUCUCAGGAACAGUUUAUUAAUUAGUUUCAUUUUAUUCUUAUCAGCAUGCUCUCUCUCAUGAGACAUUGAUUAGUGUAUUAUGUAUUCUGGAUGAUGUGUGUUGUGCCAUACCAUGUAUUUGUUCUGAAGAACAAUUAAUUCAUUAGCUAUUUGGGCUAUUAUGUCUAGAAUAUGGUUGCUUAGAUCUUCCAACUUAUAGUGUGUUUGUAGCUUCUGUAGAAAUAUAUUCAAUGUGUGUUCACAUAUUUUUAGAGAUUUGGACACCUUACAAAGGAUAAGGAUUACGAGGAUCCACCAGACUCUGCAUCGGCGUGCCCACGCGCCAGAUGGCCAUUGAGGAACACUACCGAUGCAGGCGCCAUCUUUGGUAGCUGAGGACAAAUUAAAGUUUGCCUUCCUGUGAAUUUUCUACCUUUUCCAAAUUUAAAGUCAUUAAGAGUUCAAGAUUGUGAUGAUUUGUAGUACUGAAUUGGAGGCUUUUAUCCCCUGCAAUUUAUGUGGUACAAGUAAGGGUGUUGUGUGAGAAGGCAAAGGAGAUUCUAAUGGAGGAAAGAAAUGUUCAGUUUGUGGGUAGAUGUGGAUCAUAAUCAGCUACUCUAUCUGUAGCAGUGCGAGUAUUUCCAACACCAACACCGACGAUACAGAGCCCGGGGGAAGUAGCAAGAUUUUGAGCUCCUACAGUUAGACAGCCGCCAGACCCAGUCACGACGACUGAUGUUGGAAACCAGCGGCGCGCCUACUUCAGUUGAGUGCAAAGCUACCAACAUCUGAUCCAUGCUUUUGGGUUCUUUGUAUCUGUAUCUAUCAAUUCAUUAAGUGCAGACAAUCCAUGUUUCUGCCACCAAAUGGGGCAUAUUUUCCCUCUGGUCCAGUUUUAACUUGAGAACAAUUGAACAAAUGUCCAAUGUGAUGUCUGAUUUCUCAACA